UACAGGGGGGGCAAGCGUUGUUCGGAAUUACUGGGCGUAAAGGGCUCGUAGGCGGCCAACUAAGUCACACGUGAAAUCCCCAGGCUUAACCUGGGAACUGCGUGUGAUACUGGAUGGCUUGAAUUCGGGAGAGGGAUGCAGAAUUCCAGGUGUAGCGGUGAAAUGCGUAGAUAUCUGGAGGAACACCGGUGGCGAAGGCGGUUCUCUGGGCCUUACCUGACGCUGAGGAGCGAAAGCGUGGGGAGCGAACAGG
rnacentral:rRNA from 1 species